ACUACGCAAUCAAAAUUUUCUUCAAUAUGGAUCUAAUCACGCAUCUACACUGCUCCGUCCUUUUCCUUUGCUCUUAUUAUGACAUAUAUAUGUGUGUGUGUGUGUAAUAAUAAAAUUUAAAACACCUUUUCACUCCCAGUGCUGAAACUACUGUUGUAAAAUUCUGUAUCUUAUUUUGAGGAACUCUGAAAAUGGAAGUAAAUGUUUCUGACAAAUAUUUAAGGAAAUGAAAGCCGCUUCUACUAUUUCUUUUAACAGUGUUUAUGUUUGAAAAACAAGAUUGCAAGAUAUAAACGACUCCAGAUAUUGAAGCAGGAAGCACUACACGGAAAAGGAGGAAUGCCCCAUGGAGGUAUUUUAAAGGGAAACUGGCUAGCAUUCACGUGGGCCGAACUACCAGUGUUUAGCGGGUUCGACCGCUGGUGGUGCCCCUUCCUUUUUGGCACAAUUUUCUGAAAAAUAUAAUUCUGAUGCCUGAGCUCUGAUUGAAAACACAAUAACAGUGGAGAAGCUCAUCAAGGAAACAUAUCUGAUGUUCUUGAUAGAUCUGGGUAUCAUUCACUGCAUGUAGGAAAACAGACUGAAGGUGACGAAGACGAUGACAGCAGUCGCGAUGACGACAACUUUCAAGUAGUAGCAGUCAACACAGAAAACAUUUCCAGCAUAAUCAGGUUAGCAGUGGAUUAGCAGUACACAACAAUAUGAUUGGUCGAGAUACAGGGAAAGAAAUGAAGAUAUCGUAUUAGAUAGUGUAAUAUUAACAUUACUAUAUAUUCUUAUUCGAAUAUAGGUCUGUA